rnacentral:rRNA from 1 species
GACGAACGCUGGCGGUGUGCUUAACACAUGCAAGUCGAACGGAAAGGCCCUGCUUUUGUGGGGUGCUCGAGUGGCGAACGGGUGAGUAACACGUGAGUAACCUGCCCUUGACUUUGGGAUAACUUCAGGAAACUGGGGCUAAUACCGGAUAGGAGCUCCUGCUGCAUGGUGGGGGUUGGAAAGUUUCGGCGGUUGGGGAUGGACUCGCGGCUUAUCAGCUUGUUGGUGGGGUAGUGGCUUACCAAGGCUUUGACGGGUAGCCGGCCUGAGAGGGUGACCGGCCACAUUGGGACUGAGAUACGGCCCAGACUCCUACGGGAGGCAGCAGUGGGGAAUAUUGCACAAUGGGCGGAAGCCUGAUGCAGCAACGCCGCGUGCGGGAUGACGGCCUUCGGGUUGUAAACCGCUUUCGCCUGUGACGAAGCGUGAGUGACGGUAAUGAGUAAAGAAGCACCGGCUAACUACGUG